CCGGCAUCGGGAAGAGGGAAAAGGAGCAAUCCGCUUUGAGAUGGCCUCGCGUCCGAUUAGCUGGUUGGUGAGGUAACGGCCCACCAAGGCGACGAUCGGUAGCCGGACUGAGAGGUUGAACGGCCACAUUGGGACUGAGACACGGCCCAGACUCCUACGGGAGGCAGCAGUGGGGAAUAUUGCACAAUGGGGGAAACCCUGAUGCAGCGACGCCGCGUGGAGGAAGAAGGUCUUCGGAUUGUAAACUCCUGUUGUUGAGGAAGAUAAUGACGGUACUCAACAAGGAAGUGACGGCUAACUACGUGCCAGCAGCCGCGGUAAAACGUAGGUCACAAGCGUUGUCCGGAAUUACUGGGUGUAAAGGGAGCGCAGGCGGGCGAUCAAGUUGGAAGUGAAAUCCAUGGGCUCAACCCAUGAACUGCUUUCAAAACUGGUCGUCUUGAGUAGUGCAGAGGUAGGCGGAAUUCCCGGUGUAGCGGUGGAAUGCGUAGAUAUCGGGAGGAACACCAGUGGCGAAGGCGGCCUACUGGGCACCAACUGACGCUGAGGCUCGAAAGUGUGGGUAGCAAACAGGAUUAGAUACCCUGGUAGUCCACACCGUA
rnacentral:rRNA from 1 species